GAUGAAGAACGUAGCGAAAUGCGAUAAGUAAUGUGAAUUGCAGAAUUCCAGUGAGUCAUCGAAUCUUUGAACGCACAUUGCGCCCUUUGGUAUUCCGAAGGGCAUGCCUGUUCGAGCGUCAUUAUCACCCCUCAAGCCCUCGGCUUGGUGUUGGACGGUUUGGUGGAGACCCCUUUGCGGGCUUCUACCCCUCCCAAAGACAAUGACGGCGGCCUCGUUGGACCCCCGGUACAUUGAGUUCUUCACGGGACACGUAUCGGAUACAUGGGUUUACGGGACACGGUCUACCUCCCCUCAGGGAGAAUCUUUUUUAUCAAGGUUGACCUCGGAUCAGGUAGGGAUACCCGCUGAACUUAAGCAUAUCAAUAAGCGGAGGA
rnacentral:misc_RNA from 1 species